GGGUUGUGAGGUUAAGCGACUAAGCGUACACGGUGGAUGCCCUGGCAGUCAGAGGCGAUGAAGGACGUGCUAAUCUGCGAAAAGCGCCGGUAAGGUGAUAUGAACCGUUAUAACCGGCGAUGUCCGAAUGGGGAAACCCAGUGCAAUCCGUUGCACUAUCGUUAACUGAAUACAUAGGUGAGGCGAACCGGGGAACUGAAACAUCUAAGUACCCCGAGGAAAAGAAAUCAACCGAGAUUCCCCAGUAGCGGCGAGCGAACGGGGACAGCCAGAGCCUGAUCAGCCUGAGUGUUAGUGGAAGCGUCUGGAAAGUCGCGCGAUACAGGGUGACAGCCCCGUACACAAAAGCACUCUUGCUUGUGAGCUCGAUGAGUAGGGCGGGACACGUGGUAUCCUGUCUGAAUAUGGGGGGGACCAUCCUCCAAGGCUAAAUACUCCUGACUGACCGAUAGUGAACCAGUACCGUGAGGGAAAGGCGAAAAGAACCCCGGCGAGGGGAGUGAAACAGAACCUGAAACCGUGUACGUACAAGCAGUGGGAGCCUCUUUUAUGGGGUGACUGCGUACCUUUUGUAUAAUGGGUCAGCGACUUAUAUUCUGUAGCAAGGUUAACCGUAUAGGGGAGCCGCAGGGAAACCGAGUCUUAACUGGGCGUUAAGUUGCAGGGUAUAGACCCGAAACCCGGUGAUCUAGCCAUGGGCAGGUUGAAGGUUGGGUAACACUAACUGGAGGACCGAACCGACUAAUGUUGAAAAAUUAGCGGAUGACCUGUGGCUGGGGGUGAAAGGCCAAUCAAACCGGGAGAUAGCUGGUUCUCCCCGAAAGCUAUUUAGGUAGCGCCUCGUGAAUUCAUCUCCGGGGGUAGAGCACUGUUUCGGCUAGGGGGCCAUCCCGGCUUACCAACCCGAUGCAAACUACGAAUACCGGAGAAUGUUAUCACGGGAGACACACGGCGGGUGCUAACGUCCGUCGUGAAGAGGGAAACAACCCAGACCGCCAGCUAAGGUCCCAAAGUCAUGGUUAAGUGGGAAACGAUGUGGGAAGGCACAGACAGCCAGGAUGUUGGCUUAGAAGCAGCCAUCAUUUAAAGAAAGCGUAAUAGCUCACUGGUCGAGUCGGCCUGCGCGGAAGAUGUAACGGGGCUAAACCAUGCACCGAAGCUGCGGCAGCGACACUAUGUGUUGUUGGGUAGGGGAGCGUUCUGUAAGCCGUCGAAGGUGGCCUGUGAGGGCUGCUGGAGGUAUCAGAAGUGCGAAUGCUGACAUAAGUAACGAUAAAGCGGGUGAAAAGCCCGCUCGCCGGAAGACCAAGGGUUCCUGUCCAACGUUAAUCGGGGCAGGGUGAGUCGACCCCUAAGGCGAGGCCGAAAGGCGUAGUCGAUGGGAAACAGGUUAAUAUUCCUGUACUUGGUGUUACUGCGAAGGGGGGACGGAGAAGGCUAUGUCGGCCGGGCGACGGUUGUCCCGGUUUAAGCGUGUAGGUGUGUGUUCCAGGUAAAUCCGGUUCACUUUAACACUGAGGCGUGAUGACGAGGCACUACGGUGCUGAAGUGACAAAUGCCCUGCUUCCAGGAAAAGCCUCUAAGCAUCAGGUAACACGAAAUCGUACCCCAAACCGACACAGGUGGUCAGGUAGAGAAUACCAAGGCGCUUGAGAGAACUCGGGUGAAGGAACUAGGCAAAAUGGUGCCGUAACUUCGGGAGAAGGCACGCUGGUGCGUAGGUGAAGUGACUUGCUCACGGAGCUGAAACCAGUCGAAGAUACCAGCUGGCUGCAACUGUUUAUUAAAAACACAGCACUGUGCAAACACGAAAGUGGACGUAUACGGUGUGACGCCUGCCCGGUGCCGGAAGGUUAAUUGAUGGGGUCAACCGCAAGGUGAAGCUCUUGAUCGAAGCCCCGGUAAACGGCGGCCGUAACUAUAACGGUCCUAAGGUAGCGAAAUUCCUUGUCGGGUAAGUUCCGACCUGCACGAAUGGCGUAAUGAUGGCCAGGCUGUCUCCACCCGAGACUCAGUGAAAUUGAACUCGCUGUGAAGAUGCAGUGUACCCGCGGCAAGACGGAAAGACCCCGUGAACCUUUACUAUAGCUUGACACUGAACAUUGAGCCUUGAUGUGUAGGAUAGGUGGGAGGCUUUGAAGCGUGGACGCCAGUCUGCGUGGAGCCAACCUUGAAAUACCACCCUUUAAUGUUUGAUGUUCUAACGUGGACCCGUGAUCCGGGUUGCGGACAGUGUCUGGUGGGUAGUUUGACUGGGGCGGUCUCCUCCUAAAGCGUAACGGAGGAGCACGAAGGUCAGCUAAUCCUGGUCGGACAUCAGGAGGUUAGUGCAAUGGCAUAAGCUGGCUUGACUGCGAGCGUGACGGCGCGAGCAGGUGCGAAAGCAGGUCAUAGUGAUCCGGUGGUUCUGAAUGGAAGGGCCAUCGCUCAACGGAUAAAAGGUACUCCGGGGAUAACAGGCUGAUACCGCCCAAGAGUUCAUAUCGACGGCGGUGUUUGGCACCUCGAUGUCGGCUCAUCACAUCCUGGGGCUGAAGUAGGUCCCAAGGGUAUGGCUGUUCGCCAUUUAAAGUGGUACGCGAGCUGGGUUUAGAACGUCGUGAGACAGUUCGGUCCCUAUCUGCCGUGGGCGCUGGAGAAUUGAGGGGGGCUGCUCCUAGUACGAGAGGACCGGAGUGGACGCAUCACUGGUGUUCGGGUUGUCAUGCCAAUGGCACUGCCCGGUAGCUAAAUGCGGAAGAGAUAAGUGCUGAAAGCAUCUAAGCACGAAACUUGCCCCGAGAUGAGUUCUCCCUGAGACUUUAAGUCUCCUGAAGGAACGUUGAAGACGACGACGUUGAUAGGCCGGGUGUGUAAGCGCAGCGAUGCGUUGAGCUAACCGGUACUAAUGAACCGUGAGGCUUAACCUUACAACGCCGAAG
rnacentral:rRNA from 1 species